rnacentral:rRNA from 1 species
AAAACAUGUCCUAUAGAAUUAAUUUUAGGUCUAAUCUGCUCAAUGAUUAUUUAAAUUAAAUGGCCGCAGUAUUUUGACUGUGCAAAGGUAGCAUAAUCAUUUGUCUUUUAAUUGAGGGCUUGUAUGAAUGAUUGGACGAAAAAUAGACUUUCUUUGUUUAAUUUAUUUGAAUUUAAUUUCUUAGUUAAAAAGCUGAGAUAUUUUUGUAAGACGAGAAGACCCUAUAGAAUUUUAUUUUUUUUAAUUUACUCUUUUUUCUUUUUGCUUAGAUUAAGUUAAAAAAAAUUUGGUUGGGGUGACUGUGAAAUUUCAUUAACUUUCAUUUAUUUUUAUCAAUAAUUAUUGUGUUUCUGAUCCUUUAUUAAAGAUUAAAAGAUUAAAUUACCUUAGGGAUAACAGCGUAAUUUCUUUGGAGAGUUCUUAUUGAUGAAGGAGUUUGCGACCUCGAUGUUGGAUUAAAGUAAGAUUUUGGUGUAGGUGCUAA